GCGAAACCGUGUCCAUCGUCGGCGGUAAGACUGAGUAUCCAAUCCUGAUCCGUAAUCAUUGUGUUUAAAUGUGCCGUAGACGGCCUUAUAAUUCAAUGGUGAAAACUCACGGGUCAAACGUGAAAUGGCCAUUUAUACUGUAGAGCUUGAAUUAUUUUGAAGUAACUAGAAUAUGUAGUGUAGCAGUGAAAUGCUUAGAUAUUACAUGGAAUACCGAUUGCGAAAGCAUGUUACUACCAAUGGAAUGACGCUGAUGGACGAAAACGUGGGUAGCGAACAGGAUUAGAUACCCUUGUAGUC
rnacentral:rRNA from 1 species